GAAAAGCUCAAAGUUGGAACCUGGCUGCCCUAGGCAGUCCGGAUUGUAAACUAAAGAGCGUGAUUCCAGGCAAGCCGGUUGACCAAGUCCUUUGGAAUGAGGCGCCACUGAGGGUGAGAGCCCCGUAAGUCGACUGAGCAUUUGUCUUUUGUGUUUCGCGUUCAAAGAGUCAGGUUGUUUGGGAAUGCAGCCUAAAGCUGGUGGUAAAUCCCACCUAAAGCUAAAUACAGGCGAGAGACCGAUAGCGAACAAGUACCGUGAGGGAAAGAUGAAAAGAACUUUGAAAAGAGAGUUAAACAGUAUGUGAAAUUGCCAAGAGGGAAGCAUUUGGAGUUAGAUUGACUAGGAGUUAAUCAGCUUGGUCUUUGGACUGGGUGUACUUGACUUCUUACAGUCUGCCAAUAGCAGUUAGUCCUAGUGGAAAAAACCAGAGGGAAGGUAGUCCUUCGGGAUGUUUAUAGACCUUUGGAAAAUACACUGGGAUUGACUGAGGAAUGCAGUAGAUGCCAC
rnacentral:rRNA from 1 species